UUACUCUCUGCCUGUCGCUGCAAAUUCAGCGACCGGGUUUGACGGCCCGUUCA
rnacentral:ncRNA from 1 species